CGCGAAACCUUUACACUGCACGAGAGUGCGAUAAGGGGACUCCCAGUGCGAGGGCAUACAGUCCUCGCUCUUCUGGACCGUAGGGAGGUCCAGGAACAAGUGCUGGGCAAGACCGGUGCCAGCCGCCGCGGUAAUACCGGCAGCACGAGUGAUGGCCGAUAUUAUUGGGCCUAAAGCGUCCGUAGCCGGCCAGACAAGUCCGUUGGGAAAUCCACGUGCUCAACACGUGGGCGUCCAGCGGAAACUGUCUGGCUUGGGGCCGGAAGACCCAAGGGGUACGUCCGGGGUAGGAGUGAAAUCCCGUAAUCCUGGACGGACCGCCGAUGGCGAAAGCACCUUGGGAGGACGGACCCGACGGUGAGGGACGAAAGCCAGGGUCUCGAACCGGAUUAGAUACCCGGGUAGUCCUGGCCGUAAACGAUGUCCGCUAGGUGUGGCGCAGGCUACGAGCCUGCGCUGUGCCGUAGGGAAGCCGUGAAGCGGACCGCCUGGGAAGUACGUCUGCAAAGAUGAAACUUAAAGGAAUUGGCGGGGGAGCACUACAACCGGAGGAGCCUGCGGUUUAAUUGGAAUC
rnacentral:rRNA from 1 species